rnacentral:lncRNA from 1 species
UUUUUUUUUUUCUUGGACCUAGUAUCUCUUUCUCUGUGGGACUAAACACAGAAUAAAGAAAGAUGAGACUAUGUCUUUGCAAACAUCUGUAUUUAUUAUUCAACAUGCUGCAAGUUUAUAGGGAGAUUGAGUGGGAACCCAUCCAUCUCAGUUUCUUUCCGAUUCUCUAUUAUUACUUCUCAGCAAGUGCCUAUGACAUUUAACAGUGAGUGCUUUGCAAGCUCUUAACACAUAAUCUACAUAAAUGUAGGCUCCCUAAAACUCACCAGGGUCCUGAGCCAACCUGAAAGCUGCUUUUAGAAAACACUAACUUAUGGUGAAUUCAGUUGCAUUUCUGAAUAGGAUGGGUGACUGUUAACCAUUUUUUAAAAAACCUUGUUUUGCUUAACCUUAUCCAUUGACUUGGUGGGAAAAGUACAGGAUGGAGAUCCAAACCAAGAUCUAGAAACUGGAUUCAAAGCUCAGCUUCUGAGGAAUGAAUUCUGGGAAUUUAGCAAAUCACACAUACUUCUAAGCCUAUAUUGUCCUAGAAUAAUCAAUAACAUCCACCUCAUUGGUCUCAUAGUUAUGAGGACAAAAUAAAAUAUUUGAAAUGUGCUUCAGAACUAUCAAUAGCCAUUUAAAGAUUACACUCUAUUGUGGGUUUCAGUAUUUGGCUGUUUUCCUAAAAUAUCAGAUCAUUCUUUUUCCAGAGACAUCCAUGUCUUUUUCCUAAGCAUAACAGACUAGGAUAUGAUUCUCACAUAACCUAUAAGAGUAUUUAUGUCAAAAUAUAUUUAACCUGCAUCUAAUCAAGAGGGAAAGAUUUGACCAAUCCAGAACUUGAGAUACUUUGGCAAGGUGACUGAUCAGAACUUUUCAGUCACUGAAAGGAAUCAAAACAACAACAACAAAAACACAUACACACACACACAAAAAAAAACAAACAAACCCAAAAAUAGUCUGUAGAACUAUCACUGAUUAAAUAAAAAAGACAUAUGACAACUAAAGGAAUGCAAAACACUGUGAAAAAAAUGCUAGGAAAGAGAUUAUUGGGAUAAUUAGGGAAAAAUUUUGAAUACGAACUCUAUAUUUGAUAUUAUUGUAUCAAAUAAAAAUUUCUUAGGCUUUUUAUAAUGUAAGUAGGAAGGGGAGACUCCUUGUUCUUAAGAGGCACAUACUGAAGUAUUUGGGGGUAAAGUGUCAUGACAACUGCAACUUUCAAAAUACCCAGGGAAAAUAAAACUAUGUUUUUAUGUGGAAAGAUAGAGACAAAGUGGCAAAAGUUUAACAACUGGCAAAUGGAAAGUGAUGAAUAUAAAAGUGUUCCAAUCUUUCAACUUGCAAGAAAAUUUCCAGCUUCUCAAAUGAAAAUUUGGACAGGAGAUUCUAUACUUCUAAAAUAAACAAUAACAAAAGAACUUCAAGAGAAAAGAAAGCCCUUCCUGAUAAAGCAGGAGAGAUUUAGGGAUACUCAUUAAAGAAUGGCUUAACUCCUUUCAGUGACACAAAAUAGAAACCCAAGGUGAAAUGAGAAACAAUUCUUUAAAAUUGUAUUUCAUGUACCCCAAGACUACCAGAGGACUGGCACACCAGCAGAUGAUACCUGUAGUGUGGACCUGGUUUUAAUUAGGUUGCACAGAGAUCAUGGCUUAGCCACUUACAAAUUAUGUACCUUCUUUAUGCCAGUCUUGUCAGUUGAACAUGGGGUUAUAGGCUCUCUCUCAAAGGAGUUUCAUAAGGAUUAACACAUAUAAAACACUUAGAAAAGCUUCUGUUACGUGAUAAAGUCUCCAUGCGAGUUUACUAUUACUGUCCUUUCUACGACAACUAUUUUUGUUACUAUCAUCACCAUCAUCAUCUUACAAUUUGUCUUCUCUCUGCUAGGAGAGUGUAGGGCCAAAGUGUGACCCUAUCCUUAAUGUAAUAAGGGAAUAACUCCGAUGGUGGCUAACAUUUCUUGGACAUCGACUAUGUGCAAAGCACUGGACAAAACACUUUACUUUGAUGAUGGAGAGAAAUUUUGCCCUAGGAGGGUUCAUACCCUGAAUAUUUGGAGGAGUAUGUGGUGACAAGUUGUGCAAACAAGAAUUGCAUUUGCACUUGAUCUGUCUCAGGCUGUAUAAUAUUACUACAGAGAAAGAGUCAAUGCCAGCUAAUAAAAAUUAAUAAUCCAUAACUAUCACUAGGAUGGUUUUAGUUAAUUAAAGAAAUUCCCCUUGAUUAAAACUAUUCAUGUCUUUAAGUAAAUGAAAAUGAAUGGGUUAUUAUUAUCUUUGAAUUGUAUACUCUAUUUCCUUAUCCUCAGGUGCCAUUUUCAUUUUUGAUAAGAUCAUUUAAUAUCGUGAUCCUUGAAGACCUUGAAAACCUAAUGGCAUGGUCAAAGAAAGGGCUGUGGAGUUAUAUAUGCCUAAGUUUGCCUAAUUUUGUCAUUCAACCACUUACUAGUUAUGAAUUAGUGCUAGCAACUUACUAUUUAUCAGUUUGUUUUUUUAGGGCAUAUUACUUAACACUGGGCCUCAAUUUUUUUCAUCUAUAAAAUGUGCAUUAUAAUACUUAAUUUCAUAUGCUGUGGUAGGCUGUUUUCAAAAACAAUUUCCAUUAUUCCCCAUCCUGUAUUAUCCAUGUCCUUUUGCAAGAUAACCUUAAAUUACUCCCAUCAAGAAGUGGAGUCUAGGAGCACCUCGGCAGCUUAGUUGGUUAAGCCUCUAACUCUUGAUUUUGGCUCGGGUCAUGAUCUCAGGGUUGUGAGACUGGGCCCAAUGUUGGGCUUUGCACUCAGUGCAGAGUCUGCUUGAGAUUCUCUCUCUCCCUUCCCUCCUCCUAAAUACACACUCUCUCUCUCUCUCUCUCUCUAUGUAAAAUAAAAUAAGAUAAAAUAAAAAUGAAAUCUAUUUCCCCCCUCCUUGAAUCUAGGCUAGCCUCAGAACUUCUUUUGACCACAGAGAAGCCAAAAGUGACAUUAUGCCAGUUCCAAGCCUAUGCCUCUCCAAAAAGCCAUGCAUGCUCCUUCUUUUGCUCUUGGAACCCUCCACCACCUCAAGCCACCAUGUGAACAAUCCUUUCCUAGUCUGCUGGAUGAUAAGCAAUUGGAUAAAGAAGGGGAGGGGCAGUUGUCCUAGUUGGGUCACUAUAGCCUACACCUGUCCACACUUCCAUCCUAGAUCAACAGAGUCAACUUCUCUGACCUGCAGCUGACCACAGACUCAUAGGAGAACCCAGCUAAGACCAGGAAAACCAUUCAGCUUCCCAUGAAUUUGUAAGUAACACAAAUGACAUAGAGUUUGGGGGUGCUUGUUAGCUAAAAGUCAGCUGAUACAUAUGACUAUUUUAAUAAUUAAAAAGUUAAUAUACAUGUUUCUUAUGACAACUGAUUGAUAUUUGCUUAAUGUAUAUAUAUAUAUAUAUACUAACUAAUAGAAGAGUAUGCUUCUUAAUAAAAGUAUCAUAGUGACAUCAUUCAAGAAUGUUAUAAUUACUCAAAGCUAAAGAAUACCAGCAGUUACAUUAUCAAUAGAAAUCAAAUUAUGUAAUUAUAUUUGCUAACUAUAAUAGCCAAUGAUAUUCGAUAUUGUUAUGGUAACCUCCAAGCAAUCCAGAAAAACUGAUACAUAGAUGGAAGAUAUCCAUUCAAUUCCUAGGUCAAAUGUGAAUAACACAUUUUAAUAUUGUUGGCUUAUAUAUUCCUAGUGCCUAUCACAAUGGCCAGCAUGAAGUCAGUGCUCUAUUAGUGCAGCCAGUGGUUAGGAGCAAGGGCUCAGUCUGAACCCCAGUUUCCUUGCCUCUGUUUCCCACUCUGCAAAUGAAGUUAACAAAAGUAUUUACUGCUUCUAUUUUCAAUAAGGAUAAAGUGAUAUUAUUUAGUGAACUACCUACAUGGCACAUAGUUGGUGCACAACAGAUGUCAGUUAUUUCUCUUUGUUGACUGAUUUUUUUGUUUUAAACAUAUCCUGGACACAGAGCCUGUGUGGUAGUUCUGGGCAUAUGUGAGUAGCCAUUCUAGUACUUGCUAGAUCUCUCAGGCUCUCAGAAGCUAUCCGGAAAACACAAAGGUAAACAUCAAAGAAACAACUACAAAGGAAGCAAAGUUUCUAGAGGUUCAGUGAAGAAUUGAAAUGUCAUGUCUUAGCAAUCGUGAUGAAACAGAACUGAAAUAAAUAACAUUUUAUUAAUUCAGGAGCUAGAACCGGCAUGCAGACACUCUGAGGUUCGCACCUGUUGUUUGGUCUGCAAAAGAUUUCCAACCAAUGGAACCCACUCUCCUAUACACUGUCCUGAAGGGCAGAACCCAGAGGCUUCCCUUCCAUUUUGCCCAUUAACCCCUUAAUGAGCCUGCCCAGACCUGGAACCUCAGACAUUCUCACCAAAUAAUCUAGGCUGAUGAUCUGAGGCUAACACUGGGCUCUGAUUUCAAUUAAAGGUGAAUAGAGAAUUUAUUUGUACUUAUCCUUCCUUCUAGAACCUUAGAUGUUCCUUUCUAGAACUGCUGUCUUAUCAAAGCAAGUAGAACUGCUGCCCCUCUGAUCUGUUAGCAGAAACUAAGUGAUGUAUAAAUCAUCCCAAUCUUCAUUUAAUUUGCCCUUGAUUUCAGAUUUAGAUUCUUCAUUUUGUGAGGCUCUCUAAUGUACAGUUUCAAAUUUCAUCUUCUCAGACCGCCUGGGGAUCAGCGAAGAUACAAAUUUCCUCAUUUAUUUUAUCCUGUGAUACGUAUUUUUUAAGAAAACCAAAAACAUCAACCAUUUAAGUUUUCCCUAAAGAAGAUGACAGAAUGGAAAAACAAACCAGUAUUCAUAGAACAACAAAGUCAUACAAAGAACUUGCCUGGAUACUGUCGAUGGCAAUAAUUCUAACAGGAGGAUCAUCAGGUAGGCUGUCUCCUGUUUACCUAAUUAUGCCGGUGGAUGAAAGAGGCAGCCCAGGUCAGAUCAAUGGGUUGCAUCUCGUCUAGAAAUGUUCUUGCCUCUUCCUGUUCUCCACCUGCGCCCUUUAUCUUUCCAGGUAAACAUAGGCUUUUCUCAAAUGUGAAAACAAAACAAAACAAAACAAAACACUUUCUUUUCAUAGUAAAAAAAAAAAAAAAACACACAAAACAAAGCAAAAAAAAAAAAAAAAAGGAAUCAGAACUGAGAUCUAUGGUUUUAUCUUUUCCAUACUGUGUAGUUCAUUGAAAUUGCACAGAGAAAUGUGUAGCCUUGAGUUGGCUUGUUUUUCUUUUGGGAAUCACCCGGAAAAAUUAACAGCUACCCAGGGACUUAGCUCUUGUCAACAACUAACCAAAUAAAACUUUCCAAACUCAUUUAAUUGUCUGCAGGAUGCAGUAAGGCUUCCCUUAUCUCCUGGCUCAGACAUUAUAUGUCAGUUUAAGUAAAACUGAAUUGGUAUUCUCCAUCUUAGCAUUUAUUCCAUCUCAGUGAAC